rnacentral:rRNA from 1 species
UACGGGGGGGGCAAGCGUUGUUCGGAAUUACUGGGCGUAAAGGGCUCGUAGGCGGCCAACUAAGUCAGACGUGAAAUCCCUCGGCUUAACCGGGGAACUGCGUCUGAUACUGGAUGGCUUGAGUUUGGGAGAGGGAUGCGGAAUUCCAGGUGUAGCGGUGAAAUUCGUAGAUAUUCGCAAGAACACCAGUGGCGAAGGCGGCUCACUGGGCCGGUACUGACGCUGAGGUGCGAAAGCGUGGGGAGCAAACAGG